GACGAACGCUGGCGGCGUGCUUAACACAUGCAAGUCGAACGGAAAGGCCCUGCUUUUGUGGGGUGCUCGAGUGGCGAACGGGUGAGUAACACGUGAGUAACCUGCCCUUGACUUUGGGAUAACUUCAGGAAACUGGGGCUAAUACCGGAUAGGAGCUCCUGCUGCAUGGUGGGGGUUGGAAAGUUUCGGCGGUUGGGGAUGGACUCGCGGCUUAUCAGCUUGUUGGUGGGGUAGUGGCUUACCAAGGCUUUGACGGGUAGCCGGCCUGAGAGGGUGACCGGCCACAUUGGGACUGAGAUACGGCCGAGACCCCUACGGGAGGCAGCAGUGGGGAAUAUUGCACAAUGGGCGGAAGCCUGAUGCAGCAACGCCGCGUGCGGGAUGACGGCCUUCGGGUUGUAAACCGCUUUCGCCUGUGACGAAGCGUGAGUGACGGUAAUGGGUAAAGAAGCACCGGCUAACUACGUG
rnacentral:rRNA from 1 species